UACGUAGGGGGCAAGCGUUAUCCGGAUUUACUGGGUGUAAAGGGAGCGUAGACGGUAUGGCAAGUCUGAUGUGAAAACCCGGGGCUCAACCCCGGGACUGCAUUGGAAACUGCCGAACUAGAGUGUCGGAGAGGCAAGUGGAAUUCCUAGUGUAGCGGUGGAAUGCGUAGAUAUUAGGAGGAACACCAGAGGCGAAGGCGACUCACUGGACUGUAACUGACGCUGAGGCUCGAAAGCGUGGGGAGCAAACAGG
rnacentral:rRNA from 1 species